UACGUAGGGUGCAAGCGUUGUCCGGAAUUAUUGGGCGUAAAGAGCUCGUAGGCGGUUCGGCAAGUCGGAUGUGAAAUCUCCACGCUUAACGUGGAGGGGCCAUUCGAAACUGCCGUGACUCGAGUCCGGUAGGGGAGUGUGGAAUUCCCGGUGUAGCGGUGAAAUGCGCAGAUAUCGGGAGGAACACCAGUAGCGAAGGCAGCUCGCUGGGACGGUACUGACGCUGAGACGCGAAAGCGUGGGGAGCAAACAGG
rnacentral:rRNA from 1 species